GUCAGUCAUUCCAACAAGUUGUUGACUCAGCGCUCAAUCAAUUUCCAUCCAUUAGAUCCUCAUGCUGUCAAAAGCCUAAAACUCAUAUUUGAAGCAAACAUAUUGUGGAAAUAUGGAAUACAAACGUGCCGAGAUUAGGAUUUUUUCUGAAUCUCACAAUUUUGGUGGUGUACCCUGCAACAGCACGUUUGUUGUUAUGGCUGUUUUUACUUUGGUUCAGAAGGCAACCCAGCUAAGAGAUAAAGUUUCAGUGACAUGAAGAGUGUGAAGUGAAC